rnacentral:rRNA from 1 species
AACGAACGCUGGCGGCAUGCCUAACACAUGCAAGUCGAACGAGACCUUCGGGUCUAGUGGCGCACGGGUGCGUAACGCGUGGGAACCUGCCCUUAGGUUCGGGAUAACUCCUCGAAAGGGGUGCUAAUACCGGAUAAUGUCUUCGGACCAAAGAUUUAUCGCCUAUGGAUGGGCCCGCGUUGGAUUAGCUAGUUGGUAGGGUAAAAGCCUACCAAGGCGACGAUCCAUAGCUGGUCUGAGAGGAUGAUCAGCCACACUGGGACUGAGACACGGCCCAGACUCCUACGGGAGGCAGCAGUGGGGAAUAUUGGACAAUGGGCGAAAGCCUGAUCCAGCAAUGCCGCGUGAGUGAUGAAGGCCUUAGGGUUGUAAAGCUCUUUUACCCGGGAUGAUAAUGACAGUACCGGGAGAAUAAGCUCCGGCUAACUCCGUG